GGAGUAAACCUAUCUUCUUUCCGUGUUAAAGAGGAAAGAUGGGCUGUGAACAAGUAUGGCUUUCCUACAAUCAACUCUUUCUUGCCUUCUUUUUCUUCCUUUGCCAACUCACUUGUUUGCAUGCCCAACUCUGCACUCAAGAACAAACCUCUGCUCUACUGCAAUUUAAACAAAAUUUUUCCUUCAAUGAAUAUGCUUCUGGGUAUUGUGAUGCUUCUUUUUCCAAAAUGGAGUCUUGGAAAAACGGUUCUGAUUGUUGUUCGUGGGAUGGGGUUGAUUGUGAUGGAGAGACGGGUCAAGUAAUUGGACUCGACCUUACCUGCAGCUGGCUCCAAGGCACCAUCCAUCCUAAUAGCAGUCUCUUCCUCUCUUUUCCUCACCUCCAAAAGCUCAACCUCGCUCACAAUGACUUUUCCAUGUCUCCCAUCUCACUUGAAUUCGCUUGGUUCACUGAAUUGACACACCUCAAUCUCUCUGAUUGUCGUUUUUCGGGCAAAGUCCCAGUAGAAGUUUCCUUCCUAAACAAAUUAGUCUCCCUUGAUCUCUCUGCAAAUGAUGGUUUGAGAUUGGAAGAAGGCGGAUUCGAGUUACUCAUUCAAAAUUUAUCCAACUUAAGAGAUCUUAAUCUUGAUGAUGUAAACAUGUCUUCUUCGGUGGUUCCAAGUUCCUUGCUCAAUUUGACUUCUUUAAGAACCCUUCAUCUCUACUCCUCUAGUUUACAUGGAAACUUCCCUAGUGGAAUGUUUCUUUUACCAUAUCUACAGGAGUUGGACCUGGGGAACAAUCAUGCUCUCACAGGUUAUUUACCCGAUUUCAAGAAUUUGAGCUAUCCUCUCCAGUACUUACGUCUCGCAAGAACAGGUUUUUCUGGAGAAUGGCCUCACUCAAUUGCUAAUCUGAAGUCCUUGAAGGUAUUGAUACUCUUUGAUUGCUAUUUCAAUGGAUCCAUUCCUACUUCUCUUUGGAACCUUACACAUAUUACUUAUUUAGACGUCUCAUCCAACAAAUUCAGUGGUAUCCUCCCAUCUUCAAUUUCAAACCUAAGAAAAAUCCUUAUAUUGAACCUUUCGUAUAAUAAUUUCGGAGGUUCCUUCUUUUCAUGGGAUGCAAACAUGACCGAAAUUGUGCUUUUGGAUGUGUCAUAUAAUAUUCUCACUGGUUCUCUUCCUUCACAAGUAAUUGUACCUCCGAAUCUACUCGUUUUCAACAUAGGCCGAAACUUGAUCAACGGUACAAUUCCAUCUUGGGUCUUUGAACUACCUGUACUCGCUUGCUUAGAUCUCAGCUAUAACAAUUUGAGUGGGCAUACACUUGAGUUUCAGUCCACUUCGCUGGAGAUUAUUGAUUUGAGCAAUAACAACCUACUUGGUAGUGUUCCAAAUUCAACCUAUCAACUCCAAAGCCUUACCCACCUCAUUCUUUCUUCAAAUAACUUUUCUGGUCCCGUUCUUGAAUCAAAUAGAUUCAGUGAAAGUCUUAGGGUGCUCAAACUACAGGAUAAUAACUUCUCUGGCACCAUUCAUGAUUCAUUUACCAUGGAAAAUCGUUUGAAAACUAUCAGUCUUAAUGGAAAUGGAUUUAGAGGGCCAAUACCGAAGUCUCUGGAUAACUGUAGAAAUCUAGAAGUGCUAGAUAUCGGAAGAAACAAGUUCUUUGACAAAUUUCCGCAUUGGUUGGGAAAUUUACCAAACUUGCAUGUCCUAAUCUUGCAAUCCAACAAAUUCCACGAUUCCAUCGUGACUUCCACCAUUGAAUUUCCCUUCCCCAUGUUGCGAGUUCUUGAUAUGUCGAACAAUCAUUUCACUGGUCCAUUGCCCAUAAACUACUUCGAAAGUUUCAAAGCAAUGAUGAAUGUGGAUGAAAUGCAUUUUGAUUUGGAAUAUAUGGGAACCAAUGGUUAUGGUCAAAUUUAUUAUGAUUCUUUGACUAUAGUACUCAAAGGAUCGGCCAUUGAAAUGACAAAAAUCCUCAAAGUUUUCACAGCCAUUGAUUUAUCAAGCAACAAGUUUGAGGGUGAGAUUCCUGAUAUCAUCGGUGGGCUAAUUUCGAUUCGAGGACUGAAUUUAUCACACAACAGCUUCACAGGUCAUAUACCAAAGUCACUUGGUAAUUUGACAAAGCUCGAAUGGUUAGACCUCUCAUCAAACAAGCUCACUGGGGAGAUCCCUCCACAACUCACGAAUUUAAUCUCUCUCGGAACGCUUAACCUUUCGCAAAAUUGCCUAACGGGGCCUAUACCUCGAGGUAAACAAUUCGAUACAUUUUUGAAUGAUUCUUACAUCAACAACUCAGCGUUAUGCGGACUUCCGUUGUCAAAUACAUGUGGCGAUUCUAAGGCAACACAGCCACCACCGUCGACAUUUGAAGAAAAAGAUUCGGAGCCUCUGAGUGGAUUUAUUUGGGAAGUCAUAUUUCCAGGUUAUGGCUUUGGAUUGGUCGUUGGACUUGUCAUGGGAUAUCUUAUGUUCUCGUUUCGUAAACCUCAUUGGCUUGUGAAGAUGGUUGAAGGUUUAGGAAACAGAGAUGGAAAGAGGCUGUAAAGUAAUGCUCGGAGAGUUGGAGGCAGAAGAAAUUAGCAAAAUGCAAAUGGUAUUGUAUGAUAUGGGGGAAAAGUCAUGAAUCUCUUGCAAGUCUCAGAUAUGGGUUUCUGCCAUUUCUCUAAGGAAAAACUUUGAUUGUAGGAGGUUGAUCUGAUGGGAGGUCGUAAUAAAAAGAGCACAGCGAAAUGAGAUGCUUUAUGCUUAGGGUGAUCAGUCCAUAACUACUGUGCUUUUUUUACGAGAUUUUGUACUUAUGUAUUCCAUAAAUCUUUUUGUAUCCCCUUCCGGCCUUUCCGGUCUUGGAAGGAAGAAGAGAAAAUUCACAUCGAAUGUUGAACUGCUCUUUGGUUUAUAAAUAAAUUGCUUGCAAUAAUGUUUGCCACUUAUAUCCAAAUGGAUUGAACACAGGAAAA